UUACUUGAAGUCGGCAAACCAUUAUCCCGUUCAUUAAGCUGUCAAGAAUCACCUGAAGAGGAGUGCUUCAAUUGUACCAAAACGUUUGCUCACCGAAUAUCCUUCCCUCCUUAAUUUGUGAAGCCACUGCACGUAGGCUGGCUUUUUUAGGAAAAAGGUGGAAGCUAAAAUCUCUUUUACUAGGCCUACUUAAACGACUUGACAGUGCAAAAGCAGCAACACAGAUUGCAUUGACGCUUCAAGGGAUACCAGGACAAUGACAGUUCGAUUGUUGCAAGCCUGUAGAUGCCUACGGAUGAUCGUAGCAGACUGGAGGCAGAUGGGGACAGUAGCUCAUCCCAGAGUGAAGUUCAACAGGCUGGUGAGCACUGCUGUCCGCAGUACUGUGCAGUGUUGCAGGACCCAUCCAGGAGCCCUAACAGCCUCGGCAGCUUUGUUGGGGUGUACAUCUUGGAUAUUAUCUCAGGACAGCAUCAGUGGGUGAG